GUGGCAGCCGCCGCGGUAAUACGGAGGGUGCAAGCGUUGUUCGGAAUUAUUGGGCGUAAAGCGCGUGUAGGCGGUCUGUUAAGUCUGAUGUGAAAGCCCGGGGCUCAACCCCGGAAGUGCAUUGGAAACUGGCCGACUUGAGUACGGGAGAGGGUAGUGGAAUUUCGAGUGUAGGGGUGAAAUCCGUAGAUAUUCGAAGGAACACCGGUGGCGAAGGCGGCUACCUGGACCGAUACUGACGCUGAGACGCGAAAGCGUGGGGAGCAAACAGGAUUAGAUACCCUGGUAGUCCACGCCGUAA
rnacentral:rRNA from 1 species